AAUGUCGUAACAAGGUUUCCGUAGGUGAGUAACCUCUAGCUCGUUUUUAGUGUUUUUUCGUGAAUUUUUUGGCUAAUUUUCCAAUUUAAGGUGAACCUGCGGAAGGAUCAUUACCGAGUACUCCUGCUUGCAGGAAACCUCCCACCCGUGAUCAAUUCCACCGUUGCUUCGGCAAGGACGUUGGAAACGGCCAUCGCCAUUGAAACUUAAUACCAAUGACGAUGUGAGCUUGCCGGAGUCUUAUACUCUUAAACUAUGUAUUAGUCAGAGAAAAUCAGCAAUAAAUAAAAAU
rnacentral:misc_RNA from 1 species